GGUAACGUUGGCAGAGGCCGAGGAAGGCCCGAACUUGAGGGAAAAAUUAAAUGGCGUCGUUAGCUGCGGAGUCGAAGGGCGUCGGUGAAAUAAGUGGACGCGAGAAUGACCGACGCCGAUGAGUCGGCCACGGGCACGGACACAUGAGCGGCGCCCAGUGUGCCCUUCCUCGACGCUGCUGGAGCCCGGAGAUGUGAUGUGAUGGAGCGAGUCGACAAGGACUCGAGUGCGGGGAACGAGCUGGCCAAGCCCGGGGGCGCGGUGGCCGGGACCUCCCCGGUGUCCGUGGGGGUGCCGCCGCCACCGGGGCUGGCCCUGGUGCCGGCGCCGGGGGGGGCCAUGGGGGGUGGGCCACCCCAGUCGCAGCAGCAGCAGCUGGCCCUGAAGGAUGUGCAGUGCCCCAUCUGCUUGAAGGUUUUCAGCCGGAAAUUUUCCCUGGAGAUGCACUUCCUCAUCCACCAGGGGCUCAAGCCCUACAAGUGCCAGUUUUGCGGGAGGUGCUUCCGUCAGAAGGGCACCCUCAUGCGCCACAAGGCGAUCCACAGCCAGACGCCGUCGUACCGCUGCGGCCUGUGCGACAAGAGCUACCGCCAGAAGAAUGUGUUCCUGCACCACCUGCGCAAUCGGCACAAGGUGUCGACGGACGUGCUGGACCGGCGGCGUUGCCACAUCAAGAACAACAAUGCAGGAGGGGGCCUGAUGGAGGCCCUGCCCCCGAGCACCGCCCCCUACCCGCCCCCGCUGCCGCCCCCCUCCAUGGGCUCGGUGUGCCUGCCCCCCCUGAGCCCCCCAGAGCCCCCGCCCCCUGCCGACCAGGACCCGUCCAUCAUCCUGCGAAUCUCGGAGCGGCAGCAGAGCAUGCCCCCGCUGUUCUCGGGCAACCCGGUGCCCCCCCUGCACCUGGCGGGGGGCUCCCUGCCCCCGGGACCCCCCGCCCCCUGGCAGUGCCCCUUCUGUGCCUUCGAGAGCGUGCACGACCCGGACGUGUGCCGGUCCCACCUGCUGCAGCACGUGGAGGACCCGCCCCCCGCGGCCUACCUGGACUGCCCCCUGUGCCCCCGCAGAAUGGGCUCGCCCGCCGAGCUCGCCGGGCACCUGCGUGACUUCCACGAGAGCGGCGGGGGGCCCCAGCCGGGAGCCAGCCCCCCCCGGCCCCCCCCGCGGAGAGGACGCCCGCUCGGACGUCACCUUCAGCUGCAUCCCGUGCCAGAUGGAGUUUGGGAGCGAGGACGACUUUGAGUGGCACGUCAAGACGCACGUGCAGAGCGUGCUGGCGGAGCCCCGCCCCCCGGACGACUGCGUGGGGCCCCUGGACCUGACGGAGGCCCGGGGGGGGCGGCCGGGCCCGGGACGGGGAGCGGGGCGGGGAGCAGCGGGGGCAGGGGCGGCGCCAGCUCAUGUGCGUGGAGUGCGGCAAGCUGUUCGGGUCCAAGGCGCUGUACCGCUACCACGCCCAGCUGCACCUGGCGGUGCAGGGGGCCUUCCGCUGCCCCCAGUGCCGGCUGCGCUUUGCCCGCAAGCCCCAGCUGCUCCAGCACACGCGUCAGUGCCACCUGCGGCGGCUGCGCUGUCCCCGCUGCGGCCGCCUGUUCAGCUACCGCUGCCUGCUGGCCAGUCACGCCCGCCACUGCCCCGGCCCGGCCCCGCCCCCGCUCUGCCUGCCCGUGGUGGACAUCGAGGCCGCCCGGGGUGCCCUGGGGCCUCAGCUGCUGGGGGUCAUCCCCCUGGUGGCUCCGGACGGCGACGAGCCCAGCCCCGUGCUGGGCGUGCCCGUCCUGGCCCCGGACUCGCUGCUCAAGAACCGCCUCAACGGGCUCCACGUGUCCGCCCGCAUCGGGCUGUGACGCCUGCUCGGCCGCCCGGACGCCCUCUGAGGCAGACGACUCUGGGAGAGAUUCCUGCCGCAAUUCGAGCCCGGCGGCGCAAAUUCGCCGAGUGCCAGUUUGCCGAAUCCGGGUCUGCCGCACUCCAGUUCUUUUAUGGUGGCAGUCCGUCGAACUCCGGUCUGCCGGACUCCUUGUUUGAAGAUUUCUCGGUCUGCUCAGAGCCAAGUGUGCCUCGGUUUGAGAGCCGGACGGCUGGUCGAGAGCGCUUGAGUUGUUGCGGAGUAGCAGACGUAUUUCGCCCUUGGGGGCGGUACUGUCAGGUCUUAAACAGUGGGGAAUUCGGGGGAGAGGGCAGCGUUGAAGCAAGGUGUGGGUCAAUGGAUGUCGCUGGCAGGGGAGAACAAUCUCCUAGUCUUCCGACGCAUCACCAUUUCUCCAUCCUUUUCAAACUUUGCAGUACAAAGAUCACCCUCGUUGUUGAGAAACUCGGUUUGCGCUUUGUCGCAGUUAGGGUUUUCGCUUGGGACGACGGCUCUUUCUGGUUCAAGCUCUUUGGGAAGGGCAGCCGGAUGGCAAUGGCCGUAAUUGUCGGGCGCUUGCCGCGGGGUCGUUCCAGGCAUUGUGGCCCUGCGUCGCUCCGUCUGGGGCGUUACGGGUCCCACAGGAAUACUCCGCUUUGAAAACCGGCAGCACCAAAUCGGUCUGCUUCGUCCGUUUCCACUCCUUUUGAAUUUCGCCUCAAUUACGAGUCUGCUCAUCAGGAAUUCCUACCAAAGAUCCUCAACGUCUCUCUCGCGCGUCCAGCUAUCCGUGAAGCGCCUCGCCACACGAGCGAUUUCUGCUUACGUCACGGACGCCUUUCCCCGUUGCCGCUCGGGGCGAGACUUUUUUGUUGAUCGAUGAAGGUUACAUUUAUGACAGAGCUUUUACGUUCCCCACGCACGGAGGUCGUCCCCUCUUCGUAAUCUCUGUCCUCGCCGACGAUCGUUGUUUGGGGGCCCCCAGGCUAGUCUUGUUUCUGGCGCAUCACAUCAGCUUUCACAAAACGGGAGUCCCAGUGCCCUCUACAAGUGCCAAAUAUCCCUGUUGGGCACCUCCCAGAGGGGUCCACUUCUCUGUUGGGCCCCUCUGAGCGACUACAUUUUUUGAUGGUGGGGUUUCGGUUUAGAGCUAAAAGGUUUGGCCGUCCAGAUUUCGCGAGUUCUUCAUCGCUCGAUUUCGUUACGCAUCUGAGGUCUGGCAGAGCAAUAACGGCGUUUCUUCACUCCGGGUCUUCGUUCCGUUGGUAGGGAAGUGGGGUUGGUUGUGGACUGCGGGGGCACGGCCCUGGUGACGCAAUGCGAUGCUGGCGACAGGUUCCGUUGCUGCUCCAAGGUCUUUUCAGUCUCCGCUUGGAGCGCCAUUGCUCGUGGAACUUUGUGCACCUUGUUUUUAGACUCGAUUCUUGAUAACUUUUCUAGUGGAACGGAACUUUGUGCAGCAAAUGGGGCUGCUAAUUUGCUUGGGUUUCCUUAAAAGGGUGGUGCAGCAAUCCUCCCACUUUCACUGAAUAACGCCUAAAGAUAAUCGUCGAGGUUCGUGACUCAUAAAGCAUGCAUUAGUUCUGGUCUCCCCAUACGAUGGCAGCCGCAAAAAAAGGUUUGAAAAAAAAACAAGCAGCCCUCGCCUCUUCAACUUGCAGCCGCACUUUGCGGUGCCGAUUACUGUAAAACCCCUAAUGUUUGCGAGGCCUGAAUUUCACGACUUGGAAAGCGUGCAAACUUUAGGGUGCGCUAAUAUUUCUCUUGUUUGAAGGGGCGAAUGACAGCCUUUAUAUUUGACAAAAUUUAAUGGUCACGACUAUGACCCCGCUGUCUGAUUGGGGAAAAAUGGGAGGGUUUUGCAGUAUGUGUUGCCAGUGUUGAUCAUUGCCAUGAUCUGUCAUUGGCAAAGCCGUCAUUACUGUUUACGUCACUGAGGCUUUUUGACACGAGCCACUACCCUCAUUGACUGUCGUGAGCCAAAACCAAGCGUUCACGCAGUGCUCGUGUCCAGUCUAAGAUGCAUUCGAAUAUUGUCGUCGUAGCGUAAUUCCCGUUGCUACGCUAUGGAGUUCUGCAAAGGAGAGGCCCAACGAGAUGUUUGCUUUAAUCCUCGAAAUUACGCUAUGGGAAACUUCCCGGUCAGUGGCGUUGCGUGCAAUACUACUGCCAGUAAGCUUGCAUCAAGUUAAAAAUAUUUCGCCCGUAACACCUGCUAUUCUAGGCCUCUGUAAACAUUACAUCCACACCUGCUUGGACCACAAUAGUGGCUUGCUGUAUUCUGCAAGUGUAGAAAAUAUACGACCCAAUAUCAUUGCACUUUAACUGGUGACUGAUAUAUUGGAGUAUGUCAGCUUUGGUCUUUGUGAAGAUGAAAUGCAAUCGGCCGACACGCCUGCAGCGGCAGGUGCUAAAAUUUACGGAGAAUGCUAAUUCACCUGGGAGGUCUUUAAAAUUUGGUUUGCACCGUAGCCCUUGUACUGCAGAACUGCCUUCUCGCACCGUUUGGAUUGAAAGAAUCGAAUGCUGGAAAAAGCGACUUAAAAUGCCGGGGGUUCGUGGCGCAAUUGGGGCAACGCAUCAUCUUCAAGAUAGCUGAAAUUGGCAACGACUGCCAUUGGACAACGAGGAGCACAAACUUCCGCGAGGAGUGGCAACUUCCAAGAGGAUAGAUGCAUUCCUACGUUCCAUCUAUUGAGGGAGAUAAUCGCUGCCGACGUGCCGUAAGGCUUCCGGUCUUUGUUUGCACUCUUUCUACCAGAUCGUCUGGAAACGGCCGCUGUUUCUGCCGCACAAAGCCUUCGAGAUGGAGCGUGGGAAUGUUGCCGUCAUUACCGUUGGGUGCCGGCCCCGUUGCUGUGUGUCGGGGGGUCGUGGGCGGCAGGUGCCACGGCCACCCUGAGCCACCCUGGGCCGUACACCCGCGACUGUGUUUUGUGGGGAGGGGCCUCUGUCCUCUAACGGCCCUUGGGUUUUGUCGACGUGCACUUCUGGCUAGCGAAAAACCUUAUUUUUCUGUCGUUCGGGUAUGCUGAAUCUCUGCGAAAGAACAAAGUUGUCCGCUGUUCUUCGGUUGGAGCUGUUCUGUGUUGCUUUGCGGCGUCCUGGUGUGCUUUCUAAUACCGAGAGGGGCAUUAUUUAUUGAGAGCACAUCCUCGGAGCCAGCCUUCAUUACUGUCUUGGUGCACAGCUCUUUUUGUCCUCUUUCAGCAAAGUAUGCCUUCCAUCAGUUUUUUUUCGGGGAUUUUCAGUUGCUUUUUUUUUUUUUUCUAGUCGAACGGGAGUGUUCAGCCAAAUGACAAUUUCUCUUUUAUUUUCAUCCGCACACGCGCAUCGAGAUAUAUAUACACAUGUGUAGAUAUGCAGAGAGAGAGCCAGGCACACAGUUUAUUUUGAGGCUGCAGGAGCGAAAAUAGAGAAAAAAAAAAAAAAAAAAGGCACCACAUCCCCAGACGUCUAGUCUGGCACGUGCGGCCACACGCGGCGCGUUUUUUUUUUUUUCCUUACGCGCACAGUACCUGAGAUUGAAGUUUCGAAUUAUCGACAAAUUUUUGUAUUUGUUUCCGUUGAUUCUUGUUUUUGGGCCGACGGAGUGGAGGCGGACGACAGCAAUGGCGUUGGGACGAGCGGUGCUUGGUUUUGAAAGGGUCUGAGAAGCUUGGUUACGGGGGAGGGGUCUCCGGGCAUGCCCUGGGGGAGGUCGGCAUAGUGCACUCUGGUGUGCCCUGGUGCGCUCUGGUGCUCUCGGAGGAGGGGGAUUGAGGUCCGGUGAGACGGUGGCGAGCCUCUGUACAGUGUUUGGCGUGAACGAGAGUUGUGGCUGUUGUCUGCUCUGCGUGUCGUGUUCGGCCCCUGCCCCCUGUAGGGCGGGGGCCAUCGUUGUUGAGUGGCGUUGGGCGCAGACCUGUUGGUGCCAGGCUGUACUGGCUGUUUGUUCUCGUGCUGUGGUUGGUCGGUCUUGCCGUCGAAGGAAUCAAAAUGGUGUUUCCCGCACAAAGGUUUGUUGUCUGUCCGAACAAAGCUCGGGUUCUGCCUUGUGCACGCUGUUUCUUCCCAAUACUCCCUCUGUGUCUUGGAGCAAACACCAUUUUGUUUCUUUUCCCUCGUUGCGUAAAAGAGAAGACUGUGUUCUCAGGGUCAUAACGCUAUCUGAAGAGUUUUUGCUUGGCAUUUUUUACUUGUCAAAGGAGCCACUGUUUUUGUUUAUUCCACCGUGUAAAUAUAUAUUUAUUGUUGCCACACCAUAACUCUUUGUUUUUACCUAUCACAAGUGCACUGUUCAUGUUUUCUCGUUUUUUUCCUUGUUUCGUAACUUGUUUUUAACCGAAGAACUCAUCCUUAGUAUACUUUCUGCCAUCUUCAUGGUACUUUUUAGAUAUCCAUAUAGACAUGGUCAUGAAAAGGUUAUUUUUAUCAUACUCGUCUCUAUUGCAUAUUUGUUUGGUAUAAAAUAUUGAAAUAUAUUGUAUACCUGAAGUUAUAUAUACAUAUUAUAUAUACACCUACAGACACAGUUUGCCACAAUCGUGUUUGAUACCGUGGUAUAGAUUUACAAGAGGAAAAAGAAAACUACAAUGCAUUUUGAUGUGUGUGUACACAUAUAUUUUUUGUAUGACAAGUUCAGUCCAGCCAGCUUUGGUUGGGCAGUUUUUUAACAUGUGUUGUACAUGGAGGCAUGUGGCAACCACCAAUAGACCUCGGAACAAAUAACAGAAUAAAGGUAUGACAAUUCA